GUUCAAACAACUGCAGUGACAAUACCUGCAGCCACGAAGCCUCCAGCGACAACAGCAGCAGCAACAUCCAGCAAGCCAGGACCAUGUGUGGACAGAAUAAACUUCUGUCUUGUCUACUCCAAGAAAGCAUGUGAUGACACCACAUGGGCAGAUAGCUAUUGCAGGAAGUGGUGUAAUAGAUGUUAAGACGCAAACACCGUUUCCCAUGAGCAGGUCAAAGGGGCUUUCAGAGCCACAUACCUUGACCGUAUGGCUCACAGAUACCCAUAGAUUCAUUGUUAGAAGAAUAAAUUGAUUAAGAUAACAA